AUAAAAAGAAAUUGUGGGGGUCAAUUUUUUCUCAUUUCAGAUUUCAGAAAUUAAAAAGAAUUAUUCUUCAAAAAAUUUUUUUUUUUCAAAUUUCAAAUAUUGAAAAAUUUCAAGAAGUCUUUAAUUGCACAGUAUGGCGCAUUAGAUUUGUAAAAUCUUUGAUCACAUUUAUUUAUUUGUUAUGCCGAAUCUAACAGUGUAUUUAGAUCUUUAAUUUUGGGUCCAGUUUUCAAAUUGGUCAACAUUAAGGUCCAAAGGGUCCAAAAUUAAACUUUGUUUGAUUUUAGCAAAAAUUGAAUAUAUGAGGUUCUUUGAUAUGCUGAAUCUAAACAUGUAUUUAGAUUUUUGAUUUUUGGCCCAGUUUUCAAGUUGGUCCAAAUUGGGGUCCAAAAUUAAACUUUGUUUGAUUUUGACAAAAAUUGAAUAUAUGGGGUUCUUUGAUAUGCUGAAUCUAACCAUGUAUUGAGAUUUUUUAUUUGUGGACCCCGUUAUCAAAUUGGUUCAUAUUGAGGUCAAAAGGGUCCAAAAUUAAACUUUGUUUGAUUUCAUCAAAAAUUGAAUUAUUGGGGUUCUUUGAUAUUCCAAAUCUAACCGUGUAUUUAGAUUUUUAAUUUUGGGUCCUGUUUUUUAAAUUGGUCUACAUUAAGGUCCAAAGGGUCCAAAAUGAAACUUAGUUUGAUUUUAACAAAAAUUGAAUUCUUGGGGUUCUUUGAUAUGCUGAAUCUAAACAUGUGUUUAGAUUUUUGAUUAUGGGCCCAAUUUUCAAGUUGGUCCAAGAUAGGGUCCAGUAUUUAAACUUUGUUUGAUUUCAACAAAAAUUGAAUAUAUGGGGUUCUUUGAUAUGCUGAAUCUAAACAUGUAUUUAGAUUUUUGAUUAUGGGCCCAGUUUUCAAGUUGGUCCAAAUUGGGGUCCAAAAUUAAACUUUGUUUGAUUUCAACAAAAAUUGAAUAUAUGAGGUUCUUUGAUAUGCUGAAUCUAACCAUGUAUUUAGAUUUUCUAUUUGUAGGCCCCGCUUUCAAAUUGGUUCAUAUUGAGGUCAAAAGGGUCCAAAAUUAAACUUUGUUUGAUUUCAUCAAAAAUUGAAUUAUUGGGGUUCUUUGAUAUGCCAAAUCUAACCGUGUUUUUAGAUUUUUAAUUUGGGUCCUGUUUUUAUACGACCGCAAAAAAAUUUUUGUGGUCGUAUAUUGGUAUGACGUUGGCGUCGUCGUCGUCGUCGUCGUCCGGCGUCGUCGUCCGAAUACACAUUAGUUUUCGCACUCUAACUUUAGUUUAAGUGAAUGGAUCUCAUUGAAAUUUUACCAUAAGGUUCAAUACCACAAAAGGAAGGUGGGGAUUGAUUUUGGGGGUUAUGGUACUAACAGUUAAGGAAUUAGGGGCCAAAAGGGGCCAAAAAUAAGCAUUUUUGUAACUUCCAGACAUAACUUGUGUGUAAGUGUAUGGAUCUCUCUGACAUUGUACCACAAGGUUCCAUAUCACAAAGGGAAUGCUGGGAUUGAUUUUGGGGGUAAUUGUCUCCAAAUUUUAGGAAUUAGGGGCCAAAAAGGGGCAAAAAACAAGCAUUUUUCUAGUUUCAUGACAAUAACUUGUUUGUAAGUGUAUGGAUCUUUAUGAAAUUGUACUACAAGGUUCCAUAUCACAAAGGGAAUACUGGGAUUGAUUUUUGGGGUAAUUUCCUCCAAAUAUUAGGAAUUAGGGGCCAAAAAGGGGCAAAAAACAAGCAUUUUUCUAGUUUCAUGACAAUAACUUGUUUGUAAGUGUAUGGAUCUUUAUGAAAUUGUACUACAAGGUUCCAUAUCACAAAGGGAAAGCUGGAAUUGAGUUUGGGGGUAAUUGCCCUAAACGUUUAGGUAUUUGGGGCCAAAAAGGGGCCAAAAAACAAGCAUUUUUCUAGUUUCCAGACAAUAACUUGUGUUCAAGUGUAUGAAUCUCUCUGAAAUUGUACUGCAAGGUACCAUACCACAAAGGGAAAGCUGGGAUUGAGUUUGGGGGCGAUGAAUCAUAAGGGGGUUCAAAAAAUUGGGGGGGGGGGGAUUUUUUUUUUCCUUUUUUUUCUUUAACAUUUUCCAUUUUAAAUUGGUUAUUUCUGAUUUAUAUAUAAAAGCAAAUAAUAAUGAUAUGGUUUGAAUAGGCAUACAUGUGAACCUCCCGACGGGAGUACGAUAAUCCCGUUUUCAGGGGUCUCCUCCCGACCUCCUGUUGAAAAAAUCCUGUGUAUGAAAUUUUUCAUGAAUGAAAAAUUUCUGCCCAACAUAACAUCUCAGGCAUCUGGUGUAACUGACAUUACCUGAAGUUAUAUUUUACCUGUAAAUCAAUUAACAUGCAUAAUUAUAUGGCUUCACUUGUCAGCUUGGGUGUCAAACAUACUGGUAAGCAACGAUUUUUACCUCAGGCUAACUGCCGUUGUGUAACAAAAACUGUGUAUUUAUUGGGUUACUUCCCUUGAUUUAUCCUGUUUUAAGUUACUUUCCUUUUAAUAAUGAAAAUUUUUAAAAGAAUAUAAAUAAAAUAUAAAUUGAACAAAUAAUCAUAAAAGGAUGGUUAUUAAAUUAUUUUAAAUGUCUUAGGACAAAUAAAAAAAUAAUAAUUUGAAAAUUAUUUGAGGAUUCUAUACUUCCUUUUAAGGCUUAAAUUGAAAUUUAUAUAAUAACUAUGACCCUAACUUUACAGGUAGAAUGAAUUUCUGAGUUUGCAAA